rnacentral:rRNA from 1 species
CAAUAGCGUAUAUUAAAGUUGUUGCGGUUAAAAAGCUCGUAGUUGGAGUUCUGCCAGGUGCCGCCUGUCCGCCCCAGUGGUGAGUACGUGGCGCGCAUUUGGCCCUUUCAAGGGGAGCGUAUCUGCACUUUAUUGUGUGGUGUGGGAUCCUUGACUUUUACUUUGAGGAAAUAGGAGUGUUCCAAGCAGGCUCUCGUCGUGCACAGCUCAGCAUGGAAUAAUAGCAUUGGACCUCGAUUCUAAGCUGUUGGUUGCCAGAAGCGAGGUAAUGAUGAAGAGGGAUAGUUGGGGGCAUUCGUAUUUAACUGUCAGAGGUGAAAUUCUUGGAUUUGUUAAAGACGGACUACUGCGAAGGCAUCUGCCAUGGAUGUUUUCAUUGA